UACGAAGGGGGCUAGCGUUGCUCGGAAUCACUGGGCGUAAAGCGCACGUAGGCGGAUUGCUAAGUCAGGGGUGAAAUCCUGGAGCUCAACUCCAGAACUGCCUUUGAUACUGGCGACCUUGAGUCCGGGAGAGGUGAGUGGAACUGCGAGUGUAGAGGUGAAAUUCGUAGAUAUUCGCAAGAACACCAGUGGCGAAGGCGGCUCACUG
rnacentral:rRNA from 1 species